UCGCCUGUUUGCAGUUUCGGGACUAUUUCUUAUUAUCAAACCCCCACCUUGUGCGGCGGUGAGCGGAAUCUAACUAGUUGGAUGGAUGCAUACUAGUACUUCAGGUACUCAAAUGCAAUAAACCACAUAAUCCAUGGAUCUGGCUCGAUUGUGCUUGUGUGGAUACGGAGGUGCAGUGUCUUCACGAGAGUUUAUUUGCACAGGACGGAUCGAGGGGGGGAGUAGGCGUUGGAUCUCCGGGCUCUUAAUUCCAAACACUGCUAGGACGUCUUUUGGUUUUUCUUGUGGAAUGGUGACGCACUUGGUUGUGAGGGGGGUAUGUGUAGCGGGA
rnacentral:sRNA from 1 species